UUUUUCCAUUUCUGAUACAGCUAUAGAAUUUCAAUUUCAAUCCACAUUUAUCAUGGCUCUAUGAAUCUUCUAUUUGGCGUUCUGUCUUCUUUUUAUGUAAAUAGAAAUGUUUCUCCUAACUGAUUCAUCCUUUUUAUCUUGCUCUUUAACUCCAUCACCCUUUAAGAGCACGAUCUUUUUAUUGAAUCAUAUCCUAUAAAAUUCGUCAUUCCCUUCUUCGCCUUCGCCGUCAAUCAUCGUUGCUCCGCUGACCGAUUGCAUUUUACCCUAGAUUGAGAAACUCGAUUUGGUGUUUUAGAUGAGCAGUAAGGGUUUCUUCAAUUGGUUCAAAGUAUAUGUCUGCUUCAGUUUCAACAAGACUUAUUCGCACUGUUGGAUCCUUUUGCAGCUUUAGGAUGCAACAGCAACAACACUAAUGCAUCAAAGCAAACCACACUUUACCAUAUCAAACCACACAUUACUAUUUCUUUUCAUUUUCAGGUGCGGUCAAGACGUAACCUGUCUUGCUGUGCCUUCUUUUCUAUUUUUAUAAUUAAAAAAUUUACAACAAUUA